rnacentral:misc_RNA from 1 species
CAGUAACUCGAGCUCGUUCUGCACGUUUAAGGUUAAUGUGAGCACCUCUCCCAGCACUAUACCUGUUGCUGUCCUAAAAAAACUCAAAACUAUCAUCAUGUGAUGAUAGACCAUGUUGCAGUAGCAGAUAAUUUCAGCUUACUUGAUUAUACUCUUCAAGCCAAUUUUCCUCCUCACAUGCUGAAAGCCAUCGGUCAAUCCUAUCCAUGACUUCUUUUCGGCUCAUAGCUUCUUCUUUAGCUUUGACUAUUUGGGCUUCAAUGUUUGCCAAAAGCUCAGAAGGAUCCACUAAGCCAGAAUCUAUCAAUGCGUUGGAUUUCUCAGCAGCAGUACUUGUAUCAGGUUCAAU